AUGUUUCCGCAAUCAGGGACGAAUAGCUCAGUAAAACUGCGAUGAUUUAGUCUGGCUGUGUAGAUAACUACGUGAAAAUGUAGCUAAGGGAAGGCAGAAUAAGACGCAGGACUAUCAGUUAGUUGGUAGUGUAAUGGACUACCAAGACAGUGACGGUUGACGGGAAAUUAGGGUUUUGUACCGGAGAGGGAGCCUGAGAGAUUGCUCCCACGUCCAAGGACGGCAGCAGGCGCGAAAAUUGCCCACUCUUUGCAGGAGGCAGUUAUGAGACGUGAAGAUGAGUAUCUUGUAAAGAGGGAUAGGAGAAUUGGAGGGCAAGUUUGGUGCCAGCAGCCGCGGUAAUACCGACUCCAAGAGUGUGUAUGAGAGAUGCUGCAGUUAAAAAGUCCGUAGUCAUAGAAGGGCAAAGAGAGACGCGAGGUCUCACAGUGCGAUGAUGGAGGAGCCGAUGGGGAACAUAGUAUACCAGGGCGAGAGAUGAAAUGCCAAGACCCCUGGUGGACUGAGCGAGGC
rnacentral:rRNA from 1 species